UCCCUAGUGGCGCAAUUGGUUAGCGCGCGGUACUUAUAAUGCCGAGGUUGUGAGUUCGAUCCUCACCUGGGGAA
rnacentral:tRNA from 2 species